rnacentral:rRNA from 1 species
GACGAACGCUGGCGGCGUGCUUAACACAUGCAAGUCGAACGGAAAGGCCCUGCUUUUGCUUGGUGCUCGAUUGGCGAACGGGUGAGUAACACGUGAGUAACCUGCCCUUGACUUUCUGGGAACUUCAGGAAACUCGGGCUAAUAUCGGAGAUGAUCUUCUGCUGCAUGUUGGUCAUUGGAAAGUGUCGGCGGUUGGGGCUGGUCUGGCUGCUUAUCAGCUUGUUGGUGGGGUAGUUGCUUACCAAGGCUUUGAAGGGUAGCCGGCCUGAGAGGGUGACCGGCCACAUUGGGACUGAGAUACGGACCAGAAGCCUACGGGAGGCAGUAGUGGGGAAUAUUGCACAAUGGGGCGAAGCCUGAUGCAGAAACGCCGCGUGCGGGAUGACGGCCUUCGGGUUGUAAACCGAUUUCGCAUGUGCCGAAGAGUGCGUGACGGUACUGGGUAAAGAAGCACCGGCUAACUACGUG